UACAGAGGGUGCGAGCGUUGUUCGGAAUUAUUGGGCGUAAAGCGCUUGUAGGCGGCACGUCAAGUCGCGUGUGAAAUCCCCAGGCUUAACCUGGGAAGUGCGCGCGAAACUGACGAGCUUGAGUGCCGGAGAGGGUCGCGGAAUUCCCGGUGUAGAGGUGAAAUUCGUAGAUAUCGGGAGGAACACCAGUGGCGAAGGCGGCGACCUGGGCCAAUAUUGACACUUAGGUGCGAAAGCGUGGGGAGCAAACAGG
rnacentral:rRNA from 1 species